AAAUUUAGGUUAACUAAUUAAACCAAGGGCCUUCAAAGCCCUAAAUAGUGGGCUACACCCCCUAAUUUCUG
rnacentral:tRNA from 1 species